ACAGAGGCGGCAAGCGUUGUUCGGAAUUAUUGGGCGUAAAGAGCACGUAGGCGGCCUUGCAAGUCAGUUGUGAAAGCCUUCCGCUUAACGGAAGAACGGCAUCUGAUACUACAGGGCUUGAGUACGGGAGGGGAGAGUGGAACUUCUGGUGUAGCGGUGAAAUGCGUAGAUAUCAGGAGGAACACCGGUGGCGAAGGCGGCUUUCUGGCCCGUAACUGACACUGAGGCGCGAAAGCGUGGGGAGCGAACGG
rnacentral:rRNA from 1 species